CAACAUAUUUUCUUAUAACUAAGAAUAAAAUAAAUUUUACAGUUAAAAUUAAUUUAUUAUUAAUACCUUUAUAACUGUUUAGAUACUUUAGGAUUGUUAUAUAUUUAAUAAACUAAUAUAAAUAGUCAAAUAGAUGUAAUUGAUUAUGGAUAUAGCAUGAAUAUUUUAUAGUACUUCUCAUUUAAUAGAGAAAACACAUAGUUAAACAUUAUUAAUGUAACUUUUAAGAUUUUUUACACGACUUUUCAAAGUAAAAUUAGUGAUGGAUAUAUAUUAAUUUAGGGGGUUGGCAAACAUGCUGUGUUGCUAACAUGCUUUUUUCUCUUUCUUUUUUUUUUCUCUUGUUUUUUCCUUAUUUUUCUCUUAUUUUUUCCUUAUUUUUUUCUUAUAAAAUGUAAUGAAGAAAAAAAAUUAAAACUUUUGUCGGGCUUGUAGUAAUAAGUUCCAAACAUAGCUGGAGCCUUAUACAAUUCGGUGCCUAGAACAAAAUUAAUGACAUCCAAUUCUCUUUUUGUGAAGUUUUCUCUGCCCAUUGAAAAUACAUAGAUUUCUAACUUGAGGUUUUGAAGACGCACAUUGGUUGUAACAUUCCUUGGAUAAGUAUGUUCUUGGUCGAGUUGCUUACAUAUUUCAAGGAAGCAUGAGGGAAGUACAUGCUUCCUUUGAUGGGGUUCUUACAAACACAUUUUGUUUUGCUUCCAUCCCAUGAUCACACGGAGCACAUUUGAAAAGAGAAGAUGUUAGCGAUUGUAUGGGACUCUCCGAAGCUAGAUAAGUUUAACACAAUCAACCACUACAAAAAAAGUCUACAUUAAUAGCACAUUGUUAUAGCACGUUUUACUGAACUGCUAUUGUAUAUGAGUUUGAAAUUUCCGUACUAUAUAAUAGCAUUAGAUAAACGCUAUUAUAAAGUGAAACCUAAAAUAACACUUAAUUAAUGCUAUUUGAAAAUUAAGUGAGCGGGAAGAUAAAACCACUGAUUCCGCCAAUAAUUAGCGGAAAAUUAUACUUAAGCGCCAAAAAACAUUAUUUAAGCGGUUCAGUAAUGCUAUCAAAAACAUAUUAUAGCAUUUUUCUAACGCUAAGAAAAGAUAUUUGAACCCCUAAACCCUAAACAUGAUUUUAAACCCUAAACUCUAAAGACAUCCCUUAAAACUCUAAUAUUUUCAUAUUAUAACUUCAAAUCUUAAAAUUAAACUCAAAUUGUAAUCUUCUUAAUCUUAAACUAUAAUAUCCUAAACACAAAUCUUUAAUCUUUACUCAAACUCUAUAUCCUAAAAUCCUAACUUCAUACAUAAACUAUACAUUCAAUACUCUAAAUAAAAACUUCAAUCUUUAUAUCAUAAAAUACUAAACUUUGUUUUAAACACUAAACUUUAUUUGUAUAACUUAUAUCAUAAAACUCUAAGUUUAUUUUAAAUUUCAAACUCUAUAUCUAACCUUUUAACCCUAAUUAAUUUCUAACUCUUACUUACAAAAGUAACAAAAUAUUAAAAGCUUCAAAUCCUUAUUAAAUUUAUAAAUAUUCAAACUUUUUUUAAAAAAAGUUAAUUUCAUACACUAUAUCCAAACUUUAACCUCAUAUAUUAAAUUUAAACUCAAAAUUUAAUAUUAUAUCCAAACUUCAACCUCAUAUCUUAAAUUUAACCCCAAUAAUUCAUACUAUAACCUCAUAUCUUAAAUUUAAACUCAAAAUCUAAUCUUUUUAUUUUAAAUUAUAAUUCUCAUUCCCCAAAUUGUAUACCCUCUAUCAUAAACAUAACUUUUAAAGUUCAAAUUUUAAUAUUUUGAUUUUCAUAUUAAAAAAAUUCAAAAGCUUGAUAUAUAAAUUUUAUAUUAUCUAACAUAUAAAUUAAAUAGAACUAUAAAUCAAAAUUUUAUAUCACUUUACCAGUAAAAAAAUCAACUAACAAAAAAAAUUGUCAUUGACCAAUGAUAUCAAAGUACUCAGAUCACAAUUUCCACCAUUGGAUUAGAUUAAUCCAACAGACCAAAUCUAAUCACGCUUUAUCUUUCCCUUUCCUCUCUAUUUUCUUCUUCUACGACAUUCACUCUCUUCACUUCUUCUUCUUUCUUUUCUCAUUAUCUAUAUGGUUCACAUCUCCUCUUCUAUCUCUCUGCACAUCUCUCUCUAUCUCUAUCAAAAAUUUCUCUCAAUUUCAUCUCCUUUUCACCACCACAACCGCCGACCUUCAUGUUCAUCACCACCACGCUCUUUUGAUUACGUCGCGUUCUUUACCACCAUCUUCACUGUCACGCUCGUCACCAUCACCACAGAUCUGAGAAGGAGCAGUGACAAAACAGAAAAGAGAAGUAGUGGUGUGACAGAGCGGCAUCUCCGGUUAAGCGUGGUGCAAAAGCCGGUGGUUUGUUGGCGGUUCGUGGCUGAAGCUCUGUGAAGGUGGCGAUGGUGGCUGAAGCUCUGUGAAGCUGGCGAUGGUGGCUGAAGCGUCAAUUGGGUUUAGAUUUAGGUUUAGUUAAUCAAUUGGUUUAGUUAGGUUUACAUUAAGUAAUUGGUUUAGUUAAGAUUAGAGUAAUAUAUUUAUGUAUUAUUGGUUUAGUUUUGUAAACCAAAAUUUAUUGUAAACUAAAUUUAAUUUAUGAAUAAAAGUUAUUUAGUUGA